AUAACAUAAUUAUUCAUAAGUAUGCAGUGGCAUACCGACAUCUCUGACGUUGAUAACAAACCAAACCGUUUCAAAAUCGGUUGAAAAUUGAGCAAGUUAUGGUCAUUUAAAAAGUACAUGUAGCAUCAACACAAUGUUAUGGGUGAGCGAGUUGACUGUAGCAAGAUGGCCGCCAUGUGCGGACGUUCGACUCCGUUGUCCGGCAACGCGGACGAGACAUCUAGUGUUUAUAUAUAUCUAUGCGUACGACGCUGUGACGCCAGUGACGUCAUGGGGAAGGACGCGUCUGUGAGCAUCUAUCCCAUCAGUCAUAGCGGCAAUCGGCUAUAAAAACGUGCGCGAGGCGUUUACAACUUCUCAAUCUGCUGAUAACCAGGAGUGAGAAGACACGACAAUGUUGAAUUAUAUUAUAAUAUUCAAAUCGGCGACACAUAAGUCUUACCUUUGUACGGAGCCAGACAUUGAAGAGCAUAUUGGAACAUGACACAUUUAAGGUGAACUUGUGAAUUACAAUGGCUGUUUUAAGAUGUCAACCAUACCUUAAGGAUUUUAUGAUGAUGACACAUCGGAACCCUGAGCACAGUACCUUCCUAAUCAAAUGGGGUGUAUUUUCUUGACUCGACUCAUCCUGUGUGCUCCAUCGUGCAGGAACUGUAGACCCACAGCAUACGGUGUCUGGAUGAGCUGAGGCUCUGCUUCAGUACAACUCCAAGGCAAUGCCAACUGGAUGUAGGACGGGACACUCAGGCUGUUCAAGUCAGAAGACAUGCGCUUCAACGUUUGAAGCUUUUACACUUUGACUUCAUGUCGAGUUGAAGCAAAAGUACCCAAUAAUCGUCGAGCUGAUUUGGUAUGGCGAGAUCUCAUCAAUUAAAGGCUACUGCAUAUUGAGCUGAAAUGUCAGCCAGGUUCAAAUUCACUUGGUGUGGUUAUGCAUUGUAACUUGUGAAUUCUGCAAUAAACAAGUUAACUGCAACAAGUUUAUCUUUUUCCAGUGUUGCAAUACAAAAUGUCACUGGCUGCAAUUUAGGUUCUGACUUGUAGUAAUGUGUAAAAGGGAGGAUCAAACCUGUCAUGUCGAUAUGAAAUUGUUACUCUUAUACAUAGGGGAACUGUUAAUUUGUGUGGCUGUGCAUAUUGAAUAGCAUUUUUGGACUUUCACAUCUGCUGCUAAAACAGCUGGGCUAUGCAUUCGAGUACGUUAAUUCUACAUGAGGCGAACAUCAGCAAGGACCUCACCUGGUCUGCUCGCACGGACUAGUUGGUCAAAGUGGCCUGGAAACGCCUUGAAACUGAAAGUUUGUCAUGGACUGUCAUACUCACUAAUUUUUACAGCUGCACUAGAGAGCAUUGACUGGUUGCAUCACAGUGUGGUAUAGGAGCUGCACAGACAGGGACUGCAAGGCCUUAUGUAGUGUUGUCCGGUCUGCUGAGUCCAUUGGCAGGAAGCUCCCAGCCCUACUGGACACCUACCACACACGAUGCCUCAGGAAAGCUGGCAGGAUUCUAAGAGACUUGCCACCCAUCCUUCAGUCUCUUUAUCCCAUUGCUUUCUGGCAGGCACUACCAUAGCAUUCAGCUUUGCACUAGCAGACAACAAUAGUUUCUAUCCAAGGGUCAUCAGGCUUGUAAAUGGACACCGACAUGGACAUCGAUACAUUUCUCACUGGUCACUUUACAUUGAUACAUUUCUCACUAACCACUACACACUGUCACUUUCAGUUCAUAUUAACUUACCCCACUUGUCUUAGGUUAGUAUAAGUCUUGGGUUAGUUAGGUCUAUAAGGUUAGAUAUAGGUCAUUGUGUAUUAGAGGUCUAGUAUAUUGUAUUAUAUAUUGCAUACUAUUUUGUAUAUUUAGGUUUAUUUAAAUUCUAUUGUAGCUUAUAUACGUGUCAGGUGGCUGAGCGGUUAUGGAAUCGGGCUAGUAAUCAGAAGGUUGCCGGUUUGAUUCCUGGCUGUGCAAAAUGACGUGUCCUUGGGCAAGGCACUUCACCAUACUUACCUUGGGGGAAUGUACCUGUACUUACUGAAAGUCACUCUGGAUAAGAGCGUCUGCUAAAUGACAAUGUAAAUGCUGUAAUGUAUGUUCUUAGUACUUAUAUGUUAUGUUAUGCCAGGUUGCUUGCGUUGUCUUGUCCCAAGAAUUUCAGUGCCUAGUCUGACCUUGUGGUCUGUGCACCUGACA